GUAGGGUACCAUCUGACUUUUCGCGCGCUGAACUCCGUCGGGUUUCAAUCGGGUUCACUUUUUUUGUUCACUUAUGUAAUGGCAAAAGUUGAUCAGGUUAGGUUAGGUAGGCUAAGUUAAAUUCUGUUGGGCUGCCUAAAGUUGGUUAGGUUUGGUAGGUUAAAUGAUCUUAGGCUGCCUAAAUUAGGUUAGGUUAGGCUUAUUUCGAUCGCCAGUCAACAGUCAAUGGUGACGCGCAUUGGGAGCCGUUACAAAGAACGUCGUUGUGGCGUUGCACAACAGCGCAGCCGUUGAAAACCCGUGGCCGUGGAAGACGGCAUUUGAAAGUAGAGUUACAUUUUUCGUUGGUUGCUGAACCAGUAUGGAACUUACUUGUUCAAUGGUAUCAAGUAUCAACUUGCUCUAAGACAGGGACACAAAGCCCUAACGUUAUUUUUGUUUAUUAAUCUAAAAACUACACCAGUUAAUGUCUUCUAAUAUUUAUGAGUUGUAGGCUAUAUAAUGCUGGCCACUUAUCUGUGGCCCAUGUAUGAUGACUUGUUUGAUGACUUAGGUGGGUGUAGUACAAGACAACAUGGAACAUGGCCUUGAAAGACGGUCACGCCUAUUUCCCUCGGCAGACGGGGGAAUAGGCAUUUAAGUCAAAAUUGUCUAUUGACCACCGGCUGACACGGACAAGGUGUAAUCCCACGAAGCUUACAGAAUGCCUAGGCCUGCUGGAUACGAUACAACUGGUCUUACCUUCUUGACUGACGUUGGCAGAAGUCGAGUCAAAGAAAAACGACAUUUAUUUCCAUCCCGGACCAACCAAGGUGUAUUUCUACAUUUCAUAGAAGAGUUGUAGACUAUGAAAUGCUGAUCAGUUAUCUGCAGUUAGAAAUCCACCUGACCAAGCGUAAGAUUCAGAGACUGAGAAAACACAAGCUGAAGAAGUUUAGGGAAAAAAAUAUGCCAGAUUCAAAACUCAUACAAAUUCAUUUGUAGAUGAAACAAGGGAAUCAAGCUUGUGGAAUAUUAUCUGUGAUAAUUUAAUACAAGCUCUUCAAAUGUAAGAUAAAGCAGUCAAUCUAGGAAGUUAAUUGGAUGACAACCUAAACUUUGGUGGCCGAAGUAGAAAAUGAGCAUGGAACGUGACCAUGGAAGACACAUUCAAAAUGGUAGUUGUAGCUGAAUAGCAGAGGUGGCUUAUUCAUCAAUUUUUUAUUUUUAUGCAGUGAUCUGAAUCUGAGACUGGAACUUCUGAGUUCAAAGCCUUUCCCAUUGUAUUAAUCCAGUAUUUUCAGUUAAAGGCAACGUCGCAAAUAUAUCUGACGCCAUUAUAACUGUUGAAUCUCCGUGAGAAUGUUGUUCAGGUGACGGAAACGGGUAGACAAAAGAUGAAAUAUGAUAAUGGUCAGAAGCUGAACAUAUUAAGCCAAGCAUGCCACGUCAACUGGAGUUGCGAAAGGCAGUGGAACGAUGCUCAUAAGGUGACGGAGAACAGGAUGACUGUGCACUUGUACAGUACGAUGAGUAACUAGUUUACGAGAAUGAUUAGAUGACAGUAAAUUUGUUGCGAUGAAGCUUCACGAUUUCCAACUACUCAACACAUGCUGCGAUGGAAGACCACACUGAGGGGAAGAAAGCUCUCCAUCAGUGAGAGGUGAUUGGGACUAGGUGGAAUAACUGACGUCAACAGUCGCGUCGGCAUCCUUGUUUCUUCUUUCGUUCCAGCACAUUUCUAUGUCGGUAAAACGUUGGGUGUAUCAAUGGAAAAAUAAAAAAUGUCGAACUGAA